CAGCAGCCACGGGAAUACAGAGGGUGCGAGCGUUAAUCGGAUUUACUGGGCGUAAAGCGUGCGUAGGCGGCUUUUUAAGUCGGAUGUGAAAUCCCUGAGCUUAACUUAGGAAUUGCAUUCGAUACUGGGAAGCUAGAGUAUGGGAGAGGAUGGUAGAAUUCCAGGUGUAGCGGUGAAAUGCGUAGAGAUCUGGAGGAAUACCGAUGGCGAAGGCAGCCAUCUGGCCUAAUACUGACGCUGAGGUACGAAAGCAUGGGGAGCAAACAGGAUUAGAUACCCGGGUAGUCCCUGUCUCUUAUAC
rnacentral:rRNA from 1 species